UACAGAGGUCCCAAGCGUUGUUCGGAUUUACUGGGCGUAAAGGGCGCGUAGGCGGCCACGACAAGUCACUUGUGAAAUCUCCGGGCUUAACUCGGAACGGUCAAGUGAUACUGUCGGGCUAGAGUACAGAAGGGGCAACUGGAAUUCUCGGUGUAGCGGUGAAAUGCGUAGAUAUCGAGAGGAACACCUGCGGCGAAGGCGGGUUGCUGGGCUGAUACUGACGCUGAGGCGCGAAAGCCAGGGGAGCGAACGGG
rnacentral:rRNA from 1 species